UGCCGUUAAACCCAGACGAAACGCGAAACCGCCAUUAUCGUUUCUCAGAAACUCAACUCGGAGCUCGAAAACACUUUUAUCGUCUGUUCUAAGAUAACAUGUAAACGGCGAAGAAAAAGAAAGCGCAAGAAUCGGUUCCCCAGCAAUCUCAUCGGACCUCCUCCAAAACCCCUAGCGAAAAGCUCUUCUCUUUCUGGGUUUAUUCAUCAUGCCCUUCGAAACGUUUUUAGGACGAUGUAGGACCUUUUUGUACACAAACCAAAUUUUCCUUGGGUUGAUGAUAGUUUGCCUUCCUCAUGGAUCUAUGUACACGUCGAUGCUUCUCUUUGAUAUUUCAAUUGCAAACUUCACAAAAAUGGUAGUUGGAGUUGCAUUUAUCCAGUGUGGCUUGAUGAUGUUUCUUAUAAACGGUCGUGUUUACCACAUGGAGAAUAUUGAGAUUGGUGGACCAGCGCAUGCAAAUUGUUUUUGUCUAAUAAAAUCCUUUGGGGCAACAAUUACUUUUACCAUCUUCACAGCUCUUGAUUCGACACUUAUUAAGGAGAAGAAUGGCACAGCAACCGUCUUAUUCUGCCUCUGUGGGUAUGGAAAUCUGCUUCUGCUUAUGAUAUUGUUCCGUAUAGGAGUAGAUUACGAUAUCACAGGGAGUUUUCUGGCUGCAUCAUGCGGUCUCGUAUACGAGCUUUACAAGAGAUCUUUAUGAUGUUGCAUACCUAUUUUUUGGCAACUGGUCAUUGGCAGCUCUUAAAGCAAUCGUCCUAGAAGGCACAUUCCAUCCACCUGUUGCUCAUGCUCACCCUUGAGCAUGAGGGUAUAAAAACCUGACAAAGGAACUUCAAGUUGUGCGUCUUUGUAGAUACGGCAGGUGAGAAAGUCUGACAAAUAGCUUACCCGAAUUCACUUUUUUUUUGUUUUUUGUUUUUUUUGUUUUGCGACUGUGUGAAUGUUGAAAGCACCGGAACAUGAAAGAUAUAUUUUCUUUUCUUUUCUUUUCUUUUCUUUUGGUUUGUGUUUGAGGAACCUGAAAGUGGAAAUUAAAAAGCUCUUAAAUGUUUG